rnacentral:rRNA from 2 species
GUGAUGAAGGUUUUCGGAUCGUAAAGCUCUGUUGUUAGGGAAGAACAAGUGCGAGAGUAACUGCUCGCACCUUGACGGUACCUAACCAGAAAGCCACGGCUAACUACGUGCCAGCAGCCGCGGUAAUACGUAGGUGGCAAGCGUUGUCCGGAAUUAUUGGGCGUAAAGGGCUCGCAGGCGGUUUCUUAAGUCUGAUGUGAAAGCCCCCGGCUCAACCGGGGAGGGUCAUUGGAAACUGGGAAACUUGAGUGCAGAAGAGGAGAGUGGAAUUCCACGUGUAGCGGUGAAAUGCGUAGAGAUGUGGAGGAACACCAGUGGCGAAGGCGACUCUCUGGUCUGUAACUGACGCUGAGGAGCGAAAGCGUGGGGAGCGAACAGGAUUAGAUACCCUGGUAGUCCACGCCGUAAACGAUGAGUGCUAAGUGUUAGGGGGUUUCCGCCCCUUAGUGCUGCAGCUAACGCAUUAAGCACUCCGCCUGGGGAGUACGGUCGCAAGACUGAAACUCAAAGGAAUUGACGGGGGCCCGCACAAGCGGUGGAGCAUGUGGUUUAAUUCGAAGCAACGCGAAGAACCUUACCAGGUCUUGACAUCCUCUGACAACCCUAGAGAUAGGGCUUUCCCUUCGGGGACAGAGUGACAGGUGGUGCAUGGUUGUCGUCAGCUCGUGUCGUGAGAUGUUGGGUUAAGUCCCGCAACGAGCGCAACCCUUGAUCUUAGUUGCCAGCAUUUAGUUGGGCACUCUAAGGUGACUG